UACGUAGGUGGCAAGCGUUGUCCGGAUUUACUGGGCGUAAAGAGCGCGCAGGCGGCCAAGUCAGUCGAGUGUGAAAGCCCCCGGCUUAACUGGGGAGGGUCAUUCGAUACUGCUCGGCUCGAAGACAGGAGAGGGAAGUGGAAUUCCCGGUGUAGUGGUGAAAUGCGUAGAUAUCGGGAGGAACACCAGUGGCGAAGGCGACUUUCUGGCCUGUUCUUGACGCUGAGGCGCGAAAGCUAGGGGAGCAAACGGG
rnacentral:rRNA from 1 species